rnacentral:rRNA from 1 species
AACGAACGCUGGCGGCGUGCCUAACACAUGCAAGUCGAACGGAGGUAAAGAGCUUGCUCUUUACUUUAGUGGCGCACGGGUGAGUAACGCGUAGAUAAUCUGCCUGAUGAUCUGGGAUAACACUUCGAAAGGGGUGCUAAUACCGGAUAAGCCCACGGAUUCUUUGGAUUCUGCGGGAAAAGGGGGGGACCUUUUGGCCUUCUGUCAUCAGAUGAGUCUGCGUACCAUUAGCUAGUUGGUAGGGUAAUGGCCUACCAAGGCUACGAUGGUUAGCUGGUUUGAGAGAAUGAUCAGCCACACUGGAACUGAGACACGGUCCAGACUCCUACGGGAGGCAGCAGUGGGGAAUUUUGCGCAAUGGGCGAAAGCCUGACGCAGCAACGCCGCGUGAGUGAUGAAGGCUUUCGGGUCGUAAAGCUCUGUCGAUGGGAAAGAAGUGUAUUGUGGCUAAUAUCCACGAUACUUGACGGUACCCAUAAAGGAAGCACCGGCUAACUCCGUGC